AUUGAACGCUGGCGGCAGGCCUAAUACAUGCAAGUCGAGCGAGCGGCGGACGGGUGGGUAAUGUCUGGGAACCUGCCUGAUCGAGGGGGAUAACUACUGGAAACGGUAGCUAAUACCGCAUAACACCAGUUCGGCUGACACGGUAUUAGGUAGCGGGUGGGGUAAUGGCUCACCUAGGCGACGAUCCCUAGCUGGUCUGAGAGGAUGACCAGCCACACUGGGACUGAGACACGGCCCAGACUCCUACGGGAGGCAGCAGUGGGGAAUAUUGCACAAUGGGCGCAAGUCUGAUGCAGCCAUGCCGCGUGUGUGAAGAAGGCCUUCGGGUUGUAAAGCACUGUCGGCGGAGAGGCGUUACUCGCAGAAGAAGCACCGGCUAACUCCGUGCCAGCAGCCGCGGUAAUAC
rnacentral:rRNA from 1 species